UGGUGGAGUGAUUUGUCUGGUUAAUUCCGAUAACGAACGAGACCCCAACCUGCUAAAUAGUUCGCGCUAACUCACGUUAGCGACGCACUUCUUAGAGGGACAUUUCGGGUUUACCGGAAGGAAGUUUGGGGCGAUAACA
rnacentral:rRNA from 1 species